AUGAGCGGUUACGUGUGUGUGCGUGUUUCUGUGUCUGUGCUAACACACACACACACACACACACACACACACACACACACGGACAGACAGAGA
rnacentral:miRNA from 1 species